rnacentral:rRNA from 1 species
CUCCUACGGGAGGCAGCAGUUAGGAAUAUUGGUCAAUGGGCGUGACUGUAACCAGCCAAGUAGCGUGAGGGAAGACUGCCCUAUGGGUUGUAAACCUCUUUUGUGCGGGGAUAAAGGUGAGGGACGUGUCCCUUAUUGCAGGUACCGCACGAAUAAGGACCGGCUAAUUCCGUGCCAGCAGCCGCGGUAAUACGGAAGGUCCGGGCGUUAUCCGGAUUUAUUGGGUUUAAAGGGAGCGCAGGCCGUCCUUUAAGCGUGCUGUGAAAUGCCGCGGCUCAACCGUGGCACUGCAGCGCGAACUGGAGGACUUGAGUACGCACGAGGUAGGCGGAAUUCGUGGUGUAGCGGUGAAAUGCUUAGAUAUCACGAAGAACUCCGAUUGCGAAGGCAGCUUACCGGAGCGCAACUGACGCUGAGGCUCGAAAGCGCGGGUAUCGAACAGGAUUAGAUACCCUGGUAGUCCGCGCGGUAAACGAUGGAUGCCCGCCGUUGGGUUUAUGAAUUCAGCGGCCAAGCGAAAGCGUUAAGCAUCCCACCUGGGGAGUACGCCGGCAACGGUGAAACUCAAAGGAAUUGACGGGGGCCCGCACAAGCGGAGGAACAUGUGGUUUAAUUCGAUGAUACGCGAGGAACCUUACCCGGGCUUGAAUUGCAGGAGAACGAUCCAGAGAUGGUGAGGCCCUUCGGGGCUCCUGUGAAGGUGCUGCAUGGUUGUCGUCAGCUCGUGCCGUGAGGUGUCGGCUCAAGUGCCAUAACGAGCGCAACCCCUGUCCAUAGUUGCCAUCAGGUUAAGCUGGGCACUCUGUGGAUACUGCCGCCGUAAGGUGUGAGGAAGGUGGGGAUGACGUCAAAUCAGCACGGCCCUUACGUCCGGGGCUACACACGUGUUACAAUGGGGCAUACAGCGAGUUGGAUGUGCGCAAGUACGUCCGGAUCAAUAAAGUGCCUCUCAGUUCGGACUGGGGUCUGCAACCCGACCCCACGAAGCUGGAUUCGCUAGUAAUCGCGCAUCAGCCAUGGCGCGGUGAAUACGUUCCCGGGCCUUGUACACACCGC